rnacentral:lncRNA from 1 species
GAAGGUAGUGCCCACUACCUGGUCCAUAAAGCUCAAAGCAAAAAUACCCCUGGGUUUUAUUGGCCUGCAGGGAGCCAGCCCUGUGACCUUGGUCAACUCACUUAACCUUACAAAGUCUCAGUUUUAUCAUUUUUAAAGACUUUCUUUUAAGGAUAGUUUUAGUUAGUUUUAUAGAAAAAUUGAAAGGAAGGUACAAAGAUACCCCCAUAUACUCCUUACCCCUACACAGGUAUAAUAAGCUCCCCCUUUCUCAGCAUCCCCUGCUGGAGUGUACAUUUGUUACAAUGAAUCUACACACAUCAUUAUCAAGCAAACGAUGGAGACAGUAAAGAUCAGUGAGUACCAGGUAUUGAGGGCAGGUGGGAUGAACAGACAGCACAGAGGAUUUUUAGGGCAGUGAAAGAUCAUUCUAUGCUAUUAUAGUGGAGGAUACAUGUCAUUAAACAUUUGUCCAAACCGAUAAAAGGUACAACACCAAGAGUGAACCCUAAUGUAAAUGAUGAACUCUGGGUGAUAAUUUUGUCAUUUUUAAAAUGAAGAAAUUUCACUACAUGGUCUCUGAGGUCAUUUCAUGCUGCAGGUCUUUAAAUUAUGUAGAAAUCCAUAAGAGCAACUAUCAGCACCAAUAAAUCACUGGCAAUUCCCUCUGGCAAAAUGCUUAGCUAGCCCUCUUAUAAGACCUAACAUCUCAAAGAGGGGAAAAUAUUCUGUACCAAAAUAGGAUGAUGGCCUUGUGCUCACACCUUCUCUUGCCUUGCAGCCUGGAGGAUGUGUGUGGUCAGACUGGAGACAGGUGAGACAGGGUCACAUGGCAUGCAGAUGUCUCGCAAAGUUGUUGCAAGAGUCAGUGGUCACCAGCCUCUACUCAGGACUGAACUGCCACAGAGCCCAAUCUUCAUCCUAAUCACUAAACUUGCCUGGAGAGAUUACCUAACUUGAGCACAGAGGUGGCAGUCCGUUUUCUCUUGGUGCUUAGAAAGAUCAAGUCCCAAGUUACCUAAGAGUCUGACUUGCAGGAGGAAAUGCAGGCCAACUGUUUUUACUUUUAUUCUUUGUGGUCUCUGAAGUAACAGCUGUUCCUCUUUAAGAACCAUUGGGAUUGUCUCAUUGAUCUAUCUCAAAUCAUGAUGCUAUUAAGGGAAAGCAUUGUUAUUUCAUUGGCAUUAGAAGAUUGUG